CCUACGGGAGGCAGCAGUGGGGAAUCUUGCACAAUGGAGGAAACUCUGAUGCAGCGAUGCCGCGUGAGUGAAGAAGGCCUUUGGGUUGUAAAGCUCUUUUGUAGGGGAAGAUAAUGACUGUACCCUAAGAAUAAGGUCCGGCUAACUUCGUGCCAGCAGCCGCGGUAAUACGAAGGGACCUAGCGUAGUUCGGAAUUACUGGGCGUAAAGCGCGCGUAGGCCGUUGAGUUAGUUAAUUGUGAAAUCCCAAAGCUUAACUUUGGAACUGCAAUUAAAACUACUCGACUAGAGUUUGAUAGAGGAAAGCGGAAUACAUAGUGUAGAGGUGAAAUUCGUAGAUAUUAUGUAGAACACCAGUUGCGAAGGCGGCUUUCUGGAUCAACACUGACGCUGAGGCGCGAAAGUAUGGGUAGCAAAGAGGAUUAGAUACCCUCGUAGUCCAUACCAUAAACGAUGAUUGCUAGAUGUUGGAAAUUUAUUUUCAGUAUCGCAGCUAACGCAUUAAGCAAUCCGCCUGGGGAGUACGACCGCAGGUUAAAACUCAAAGGAAUUGACGGCUGAGAGNGCGAGACGACGACGAGGGAGAGG
rnacentral:rRNA from 1 species